GCUUGCACUCGGUUGAGACGAGUCUCAUCCGGUAGAGCGAAUGAUUAGAGGCAUUGGGGUCGAAACGACCUCAACCUAUUCUCAAACUCCAAAUAGAUGAGAACCCCCGGCUUUCUUAAAAAUGAAGCCCGUGGGAUUCGAUCAGAGUGCCAAGUGGGCCAAUUUUGGUAAGCAGAACUGGCGCUGUGG
rnacentral:rRNA from 1 species